AACGAACGCUGGCGGCAGGCUUAACACAUGCAAGUCGAACGCCCCGCAAGGGGAGUGGCAGACGGGUGAGUAACGCGUGGGAAUCUACCUAUCUCUACGGAAUAACCCAGGGAAACUUGG
rnacentral:rRNA from 1 species